rnacentral:rRNA from 1 species
GACGUAGGGCGCGAGCGUUGUCCGGAAUUAUUGGGCGUAAAGAGCUCGUAGGCGGUUUGUCACGUCGGGUGUGAAAGCCCGGGGCUUAACCCCGGGUCUGCAUUCGAUACGGGCAGACUAGAGUGUGGUAGGGGAGAUCGGAAUUCCUGGUGUAGCGGUGAAAUGCGCAGAUAUCAGGAGGAACACCAAUUGCGAAGGCAGCACUCUGGGACGUGACUGACGCUGAGACGCGAAAGCGUGGGGAGCAAACAGG